GUAAGGAAUAUUGGACAAUGGACGCAAGUCUGAUCCAGCCAUGCCGCGUGAAGGAUUAAGGUCCUCUGGAUUGUAAACUUCUUUUAUAAGGGACGAAAAAAGGCUUUUCUAAGUCGUCUGACGUUACCUUAUGAAUAAGCACCGGCUAACUCCGUGCCAGCAGCCGCGGUAAUACGGAGGGUGCAAGCGUUAUCCGGAUUCACUGGGUUUAAAUGGUGCGCAGGCGGGCAGUUAAGUCAGUGGUGAAAUCCUAGAGCUUAACUCUAGAACUGCCAUUGAUACUAUCUGUCUUGAAUAUUGUGGAGGUAAGCGGAAUAUGUCAUGUAGCGGUGAAAUGCUUAGAUAUGACAUAGAACACCUAUUGCGAAGGCAGCUUACUACGCAUAUAUUGACGCUGAGGCACGAAAGCGUGGGGAUCAAACAGGAUUAGAUACCCGUGUAGUCC
rnacentral:rRNA from 1 species